GACGAAGGUGGCGAGCGUUGUUCGGAAUCACUGGGCAUAAAGCGCACGUAGGCGGCGGCGUAAGUUGGAUGUGAAAUCCCUCGGCCUAACCGGGGAACUGCGUCUGAUACUGGAUGGCUUGAGUUUGGGAGAGGGACGCGGAAUUCCAGGUGUAGCGGUGAAAUGCGUAGAUAUCUGGAGGAACACCGGUGGCGAAGGCAGGUCUCUGGGCCACUACUGACGCUGAGAAGCGAAAGCAUGGGGAGCGAACAGG
rnacentral:rRNA from 1 species